GACGAACGCUGGCGGCGUGCUUAACACAUGCAAGUCGAACGAAGUGGCGAACGGGUGAGUAACGCGUAAUCAACCUGCCCUUCAGAGGGGGACAACAGUUGGAAAAGACUGCUAAUACCGCAUACUGAAGGUGGGGAUUGCGUCUGAUUAGCUAGUUGGAGGGGUAACGGCCCACCAAGGCGAUGAUCAGUAGCCGGGCUGAGAGGAUGAAUGGCCACAUUGGGACGGAGACACGGCCCAGAAUCCUACGGGAGGCAGCAGGGGGGAAUUGUCCGCCAUGGAGCGAAGUCGUACGGAGCCACGCCGCGUGGGGGAUGACGGCCUUCGGGUUUUAAAGCUCUGUUAAUCGGGACGCGUUACCGGAAGAGAAAGCCACGGCUAACUACGUGCCAGCAGCCGCGGUAAUAC
rnacentral:rRNA from 1 species